UCCCUCGUAGAUUUGUUCGUGGUAUAGCCGAGAGGUCAACACUUGAACAACCCACAAAACAUCCUCUUGACAUUCCCAUUAUUGAUUUCUCCAAGCUUAAUCAACAAAACCCAGAUGAACACUCCACUGAAAUUUCUCACUUAGCAAUCGCCUGUCAGGAAUGGGGAUUUUUCCAGGUUAAAUAUCAUUCUUUCUCUCUGUUUUCAAUUGGAUAUAUAAUAUUAAUACUGUAAUAAGAAGUUGAAGAAUAUUUUUUGCAGGUGAUUAAUCAUGGGAUUGACCUGAAUAUGCUUGAAGCUAUUGAGAAAGUUGCUAAAGAGUUCUUCAUGCUGCCAUUAGAGGAGAAAAAGAAGUACCCAAUGGCGCCAGGGACAGUUCAGGGAUAUGGUCAGGCCUUUGUUUUCUCAGAGGACCAAAAGCUUGACUGGUGC
rnacentral:lncRNA from 1 species